rnacentral:rRNA from 1 species
CCUACGGGAGGCAGCAGUGGGGAAUCUUGGACAAUGGGCGCAAGCCUGAUCCAGCCAUGCCGCGUGUGUGAUGAAGGCCUUAGGGUCGUAAAGCACUUUCGCCAGAGAUGAUAAUGACAGUAUCUGGUAAAGAAACCCCGGCUAACUCCGUGCCAGCAGCCGCGGUAAUACGGAGGGGGUUAGCGUUGUUCGGAAUUACUGGGCGUAAAGCGCACGUAGGCGGAUUAGUCAGUCAGAGGUGAAAUCCCAGGGCUCAACCCUGGAACUGCCUUUGAUACUGCUAGUCUUGAGUUCGAGAGAGGUGAGUGGAAUUCCGAGUGUAGAGGUGAAAUUCGUAGAUAUUCGGAGGAACACCAGUGGCGAAGGCGGCUCACUGGCUCGAUACUGACGCUGAGGUGCGAAAGUGUGGGGAGCAAACAGGAUUAGAUACCCUGGUAGUCCACACCGUAAACGAUGAAUGCCAGUCGUCGGGCAGUAUACUGUUCGGUGACACACCUAACGGAUUAAGCAUUCCGCCUGGGGAGUACGGUCGCAAGAUUAAAACUCAAAGGAAUUGACGG